rnacentral:rRNA from 1 species
UAGGGAAUAUUGGACAAUGGGGGGAACCCUGAUCCAGCCAUGCCGCGUGGAGGAAGACUGCCCUCUGGGUUGUAAACUCCUUUUAUAUGGGAAGAACCGUCCUCAUUGAUGAGUGACCUGACGGUACCAUAGGAAUAAGCACCGGCUAACUCCGUGCCAGCAGCCGCGGUAAUACGGAGGGUGCAAGCGUUAUCCGGAUUCACUGGGUUUAAAGGGUGCGUAGGCGGAUAUGUAAGUCAGUGGUGAAAUCAACGGGCUCAACCUGUUAACUGCCAUUGAUACUGUGUAUCUUGAAUAUGAGAGAGGUAGGCGGAAUGUUGCAUGUAGCGGUGAAAUGCUUAGAUAUGCUACGGAACACCUAUUUCGAAGGCAGCUUACUAUUUCGUAAUUGACGCUGAGGCACGAAAGCGUGGGUAGCGAACA